rnacentral:rRNA from 1 species
GAUGAACGCUGGCGGCGUGCCUAAUACAUGCAAGUAGAACGCUGAAGGAGGAGCUUGCUCUUCUGGAUGAGUUGCGAACGGGUGAGUAACGCGUAGGUAACCUGCCUGGUAGCGGGGGAUAACUAUUGGAAACGAUAGCUAAUACCGCAUGACAACAGUUAUUGCAUGAUAACUGUUUAAAAGGGGCAACUGCUCCACUACCAGAUGGACCUGCGUUGUAUUAGCUAGUUGGUGAGGUAACGGCUCACCAAGGCGACGAUACAUAGCCGACCUGAGAGGGUGAUCGGCCACACUGGGAAUGAGACACGGCCCAGACUCCUACGGGAGGCAGCAGUAGGGAAUCUUCGGCAAUGGACGGAAGUCUGACCGAGCAACGCCGCGUGAGUGAAGAAGGUUUUCGGAUCGUAAAGCUCUGUUGUAAGAGAAGAACGAGUGUGAGAGUGGAAAGUUCACACUGUGACGGUAGCUUACCAGAAAGGGACGGCUAACUACGUG